GUCUAUGGCCAUGCUACCCUGAACAAGCCCGAUCCCGUCUGAUCUCAGAAGCUAAGCAGGGUUGGAUCUGAUUAGUACUUGGAUGGGAGACCACCUAGGAAGAUCAGGGGCUGUAGGCA
rnacentral:rRNA from 1 species